rnacentral:rRNA from 1 species
ACAGUGGACGCGAGCAUCUUUAUCUUUGUGGCCAAGUUUUUAAGGGCGUACGGUGGAUGCCUAGGCACCAGGAGCCGAUGAAGGACGUAGGAGCCUGCGAUAAGCCUCGGGGAGUUGGCAACCGAACUGUGAUCCGAGGAUGUCCGAAUGGGGGAACCCGGCUGGAUUCAUCUCCAGUCACCUGCACCUGAAUAUAUAGGGUGUGUGGAGGGAACGUGGGGAAGUGAAACAUCUCAGUACCCACAGGAAGAGAAAGCAACAGCGAUUCCGUGAGUAGUGGCGAGCGAAAGCGGAUGAGGCUAAACCGUGUGCGUGUGAUACCCGGCAGGGGUUGCGUGCGCGGGGUUGUGGGACCCGUUGGCCUUCAGCUGCCGCUGGGGCGGGGAGUGAUAAAGCCGCGUUGUAGUCGAAGGGUCUUGGAUGGCCUGGCGUAGAGGGUGCGACCCCCGUAGACGAAACAGCGUGGCCUCCUUGGACGGUGUUCCCGAGUAGCACGGGGCCCGAGAAAUCCCGUGUGAAUCUGGGGGGACCACCCCCUAAGCCUGAAUACUCCCUGGUGACCGAUAGCGGACGAGUACCGUGAGGGAAAGGUGAAAAGUACCCCGGGAGGGGAGUGAAAUAGUACCUGAAACCGUGCGCCUACAAGCCGUCGGAGCAGGAUUCGUCUUGUGACGGCGUGCCUUUUGAAGAAUGAGCCUGCGAGUUAGUGGCAUGUGGCGAGGUUAACCCGUGUGGGGAAGCCGUAGCGAAAGCGAGUCCGAACAGGGCGUGUGAGUCGCGUGUCCUAGACCCGAAGCGAAGUGAUCUACCCAUGGGCAGGUUGAAGCGCGGGUAAGACCGCGUGGAGGACCGAACCCACCAGGGUUGAAAACCUGGGGGAUGACCUGUGGGUAGGGGUGAAAGGCCAAUCAAACUUCGUGAUAGCUGGUUCUCCCCGAAAUGCAUUUAGGUGCAGCGUCGCGUGUUUCUUGCCGGAGGUAGAGCUACUGGAUGGCCGAUGGGCCCGACAAGGUUACUGACGUCAGCCAAACUCCGAAUGCCGGUAAGCGCAGCGUGGCAGUGAGACUGCGGGGGAUAAGCUUCGUAGUCGAGAGGGAAACAGCCCAGAUCACCGGCUAAGGCCCCUAAGCGUGUGCUAAGUGGAAAAGGAUGUGGAGUUGCGCAGACAACCAGGAGGUUGGCUUAGAAGCAGCCAUCCUUGAAAGAGUGCGUAAUAGCUCACUGGUCAAGUGAUUCCGCGCCGACAAUGUAGCGGGGCUCAAGCACACCGCCGAAGCCGUGGCACUCCCAUGUUAGCCAGGCUCACCUUCGGGUGGGUCCAGGUGUGGGGGUGGGUAGGGGAGCGUCGUGUGGGGGGUGAAGCGGCAGGGUGACCUAGUCGUGGACGCCACACGAGUGAGAAUGCAGGCAUGAGUAGCGAAUGACGGGUGAGAAACCCGUCCGCCGGAUGAUCAAGGGUUCCAGGGCCAGGCUAAUCCGCCCUGGGUAAGUCGGGACCUAAGGCGAGGCCGACAGGCGUAGUCGAUGGACAACGGGUUGAUAUUCCCGUACCGGCGAAGGACCGCCCAUGCCGGGGCCAGCGAUGCUGAGUGCCUGAAGCCUCACGUGCCCUUCGGGGCGAGUGUGGGUGGAACGCACGACCCAGACUGGUAGUAGGCAAGCGCAUUAACAGGGGUGACGCAGGAGGGUAGCUUCCGCGUGGCGAUGGUUGUCCACGUCCAAGGGUGUAGGGCGAGUCGUUGGUAAAUCCGCGGCUCACACAAGUCUGAGACCUGAUGGUGAGCACGUAGUGCGAAGUGAGUGAUCCCAUGCUGCCGAGAAAAGCCUCGGCGCGAGGUUCUAGCCGCCCGUACCCUAAACCGACUCAGGUGAUCAGGUAGAGAAUACCAAGGCGAUCGAGUGAAUCGUGGUUAAGGAACUCGGCAAAAUGCCCCCGUAACUUCGGGAGAAGGGGGGCCGAUCGCGUGAACGCCCCUUGCGGGUGGGAGCGUGUGAGGCCGCAGAGACCAGGGAGAAGCGACUGUUUACUAAAAACACAGGUCCGUGCGAAGUCGCAAGACGAUGUAUACGGACUGACGCCUGCCCGGUGCUGGAACGUUAAGGGGACCGGUUAGCCUCACGGCGAAGCUGAGAACUUAAGCGCCAGUAAACGGCGGUGGUAACUAUAACCAUCCUAAGGUAGCGAAAUUCCUUGUCGGGUAAGUUCCGACCUGCACGAAUGGCGUAACGACUUCUCCGCUGUCUCAACCGCGAACUCGGCGAAAUUGCACUACGAGUAAAGAUGCUCGUUACGCGCAGCAGGACGGAAAGACCCCGGGACCUUCACUAUAGUUUGGUAUUGGUGUCUGGUGUGGCUUGUGUAGGAUAGGUGGGAGACUGUGAAGCGGGCACGCCAGUGCUGGUGGAGUCGUCGUUGAAAUACCACUCUGGUCAUACUGGGCGUCUAACUUCGGUCCGUGAUCCGGAUCAGGGACAGUGCCUGAUGGGUAGUUUAACUGGGGCGGUUGCCUCCUAAAGUGUAACGGAGGCGCUCAAAGGUUCCCUCAGCCUGGUCGGUCAUCAGGUGUUGAGUGCAAGUGCACAAGGGAGCUUGACUGCGAGACUGACGGGUCGAGCAGGGACGAAAGUCGGAACUAGUGACCCGGCCGUGGUGUGUGGAAACGCGGUCGCUCAACGGAUAAAAGGUACCCCGGGGAUAACAGGCUGAUCUUGCCCAAGAGUCCAUAUCGACGGCAUGGUUUGGCACCUCGAUGUCGGCUCGUCGCAUCCUGGGGCUGGAGUAGGUCCCAAGGGUUGGGCUGUUCGCCCAUUAAAGCGGUACGCGAGCUGGGUUUAGAACGUCGUGAGACAGUUCGGUCCCUAUCCGCUGCGCGCGUCGGAGACUUGAGAAGGGCUGUCCCUAGUACGAGAGGACCGGGACGGACGAACCUCUGGUGUGCCAGUUGUCCUGCCAAGGGCAUGGCUGGUUGGCUACGUUCGGGAGGGAUAACCGCUGAAGGCAUCUAAGCGGGAAGCCUGCUUCGAGAUGAGGUCUCCUUGCCACUUCGGGUGGUGUGAGGCUCCCAGGUAGACGACUGGGUUGAUAGGCCGGGUGUGGAAGCGGGGUAACUCGUGGAGCUGACCGGUACUAAUAUGCCGAUGGCUUGACCACUU